rnacentral:rRNA from 1 species
GACGAACGCUGGCGGCGUGCCUAACACAUGCAAGUCGAACGGAAAGGCCCUGCUUUUGUGGGGUUCUCGAGUGGCGAACGGGUGAGUAACACGUGAGUAACCUGCCCUUGACUUUGGGAUAACUUCAGGAAACUGGGGCUAAUACCGGAUAGGAGCUCCUGCUGCAUGGUGGGGGUUGGAAAGUUUCGGCGGUUGGGGAUGGACUCGCGGCUUAUCAGCUUGUUGGUGGGGUAGUGGCUUACCAAGGCUUUGACGGGUCGCCGGCCUGAGAGGGUGACCGGCCACAAUGGGACUGAGAUACGGCCCAGACUCCUACGGGAGGCAGCAGUGGGGAAUAUUGCACAAUGGGCGGAAGCCUGAUGCAGCAACGCCGCGUGCGGGAUGACGGCCUUCGGGUUGUAAACCGCUUUCGCCUGUGACGAAGCGUGAGUGACGGUAAUGGGUAAAGAAGCACCGGCUAACUACGUG